rnacentral:lncRNA from 1 species
CGGCGUCCCCAAGCCCAACCCUAAACCCUGACCCUAAACCUCUCCAUAACCCUGACCCUGACCCUAAACCACACCCUAACCCUAACCUCAACCCUGACCCUAACCCUAACCUCAACCCUAACCUGACCCUAAACCUCACCCUAACCCUGACCCUAACCCUAACCCUAACCCCAACCCUGACCCUAACCCUCACCCCAACCCUAACCCCAAUCCUAACUCUGACCCUGACCCUAAACCUCACCCUAACCCUGACCCUAAACCUCAAGCUCACCCUAACCUCAACCCUAACCCUAACUCUGACCCUGAACCUAACCCUAAACCUCACCCUAACCCUAACCCUGACCCUAAACCUCACCCUGGCCCUAACCCUAACCCUGACCCUAACUCUGACCCAGACCCUCACCCUAACCCUGAACCUAAACCUCACCCUAACCUUAACCCUGACCCUAAACCUCACCCUAACCCUAACCCUAACCCUAACCCUAACCCUAAACCUCAACCUCACCCUAACCUCAACCCUAACCCUAACCCUCACCCCAACCCUAACCCUGACCCUAACCCCAACCCCAACCCUAACGCUGACCCUGACCCUAAACCCUGACCCUAGCCCUGGCCCUAAACCUCACCCUAACCUUGACCCUAACCCUCACCAUAACCUCAACCCCACCCCGAUCCUAACCCUGACCCUAACCCUCACCCUGACCCUAGCCCUGACCCUAAACCUCACCCUAACCCUGACCCUAAACCUCGACCCUAACCCUGACCCUAACCCUCAACCUAACCCCAACCCCGACCCUAACCCUGACCCUAACCCUGACCCUCACCUCAGCUCCUCGGGCAGCUGCAGGGAGCGGGGCUUUUCCGCAGGCCUGCAGCCCCACCGUGGUUUGACAGCCAGCGAGGCUGCUGAUCAGAAACAGCUCUGGGACCGGCGAGCUCUUCUGGAAUUCCUGUGGGCAUUCUGCCCGUUCCUGCAGGACUCCCAGGGUCACACUCAGCUGGGCAGUGUUUCA